rnacentral:lncRNA from 1 species
CUCCGUGUGUAAAGAGGAUGCAGAGUCCAGUUUGUGUAAGGAAGAUGUAUUCUGUAAGGAGCAUGGACUUCCCUGUUUGAGGAGAUAGGCCACAUGUGUGAGGAGGAUGAGCUAUCCUGUGUGAAGACCAGUUUCCUGAAUGAAGAAGACAGACUAUCCCUUGUGAGAGGGAAGGGCUGCCUAUAUGAGGAAGAUAGGGUCUUUCUGAGCCAGACAGUCAUCUUGUUGUGUGAGGAGGACCAUUCCCUGUCUGAUGAGGACAGUUUGGCCUGUGUGAAGAAGAUGGGCCUCCCUGGUCUCCUAGGUUGCUGGACCAAGAGUUUGCAGCCGCUCUGGAUGCUGUUUCACUCCCUCCUUCUGCGGCAGGCUUACGUACCCUUGUUGUGCCCUUGUCUUAGUGAAGUCUAAUCACCUGAGCCUGAAGUUUGUGUCUUGCUCCUGGGCUCAUGCCAGUGCUCUGGAUAGCAGCGGAGGGGGCCUGCCUUCUACCAGUUCCUCCCUAUCUCUCUGUUAAACUUCCUGCUUCCUGCAGUCACACCCAGCUCUUAGGCACCACUAAUGGAUGGUGGGUAUUGUUUCAACAAUGAUCCAAGGCCU